ensembl:lncRNA
GUUAGCUGAUCACAUGACAAAAGCCGCAGGCCGAGGAUCCCCUUUCUGAUUUGUAAGGAUUUGGUUCUGGGUUCUGAGUCACUAGGUAAAUUUUAAACAAACACCCGGGCAGUGUGACUUUGCCUAGGAUGCUGUCUUCAAAGAAAGCCAUUUUUUUGUUGCAGUGUUACCAGAGGCCCUGAUAGAUCGUGGGCUAUGAACAGGCUGAUGCGUAUUUUACUUUCUGGGGUCAUGGACACACUGGGUACCCAUCAAACUGACUGAAAUGAAAUCUCUAACCAGGUGUCAGUGAGACUGCAAGAAGCAACUUGGGAGAUUUCUCUGGGAAACUCUGGGAAGACUGGUUUACAAACAAUGGUUGGCGGGAUUAUGUUAAUCUAUGGAGAUGUUUCUCACAGGGCUAUAUGUAAUGAAAUAUCCUAGGUACAGCAAAAAGCUUGAACUAUAUGCAUUUCAAAGAAUUUUUUUGGUGUUUAGAUGCUACAGAGACAUAUGAUAACAACGGACCCCUCUGAAUGUCUUUCUGUGGUAAGAGAUGCUAAAUCUGUUUGCUUUAGAAUAUAUUUGAGUGUUGCAACUGCUGGAAAAGUCCCCAAAUCUAGAGAACUGAGAAAGAAGAGAAUGGUAGCCUGCUCUAUGGUUGGCACUUAAUUCAUCCUAACUUUGGAUUUUAGAGUGACGGGAUUAUUAAAAAAACGAGUUACUCUGUCUGAUCACAUUUAAGAUUAGACACUGGAUACAGGGGAAAUGGAAAACUAUUUAACAUUAUCCAAAGCUUCAGAUUUCUUUGUGUGUAAAAUUUGGCCAAUAUGGUUAUGGCCUAAAUAUUGUUAACAGAGGGCCACUGUCAGAUUCUGCAAGUGUCUUGUAAACAAAUACUACAUUUUGUACUGGCACAGUUUGUUUGUUUUUACAUUAUUUAUGCUUAAUUCUGACAAGUGACAGAAACAAAGUGGAUUCUGCACCUUUAGAAAACAUAUUGCCCAGCCAGCGAGAGCAGUUCAGCGUUUGCACGCAGAGCUGGUAUGGAUCCCCACGCCUUCAUGCAGACCUCUGGAGACAGUGCCUCCUGCUCCUCAGGGCUGAUCCGAACACCGGACAAGAAGGAACGUCUGUCUGCAUCAUUCUGAGUGGGCUUUCGUUGCCUCACAUAUGUUCAGCUCUUGAAAACCUGUCAAAAUGAAAGACCAGAAGAUGCAGGAAGGGUGCCAGGCAAGAGUGUGGUCAGUGACCAGCCUGUGCUGAACAGAGGAAGACUCCUGAUGAUUCAGUACUCAUGUCUACGAAGGAGCUUCACCUUUCCCCGAGGAAGUGACACGGGCUGGGAAUGGAGGACGGCCUAACUUCUAGAUCUGAAAUACGUUUUCAGCGCUCCAUCCUAUUGACUAGUGCGGGUACCAGAGCCUGUAGAUGCUUUUGCACUACUGCCUCAGAAGAUGCUGUCGUACCACAUGUUCAGAACGGCUGUGUUUCUAACAGGAUCUGGGGAACAAUCUGACACCGGUGAUCCCAGGAUCGGUGAUCCCAGGAUUCCUGCUCUGAGUAGUUAACACACCCGGAAUAUGACUUGGGUAGGAAGAGGAAAACAUAAACACAGAUAUAUCUUAAUUGUUUUUUUCCUCUAGCUUGGCUAUCCUUCUCAUUUACUCUCUCUUGUUCUCUUACCUUUCUACUUGGAUAGAUUAUACUUCUUAUUGGAGAGAAAGUGAGGCUGCUUUAGACUUGUACACUUAAUUGUAUUUUGUUAUAAUAGAUAGUUCCAGACCAGCCAUGAUACUCGUGUACACACACACACACACACACACACUCACACACACAGUUACACACACACUCAUACACACACUCACACAUACUCACACACACUCACACACUCACACACAGUUACACACACAUACACACACACUCAUACACAUACUCACACAUACACACACUCACACACUCACACACAGUCACACACACAUACACACACACACACACUCACACACACACUCAGUGCCAUGUUUCAAAUAUAAAAAUAUCAAAAUUUAAUGCCUGCUUCUUUCUAAAAUGAAGUCAGUGGGAGACAAGUUGGAUAGAAGGACCUGUACAGGAAAUAUUGGUUCUCGUUUCCUUCUAUAACUUUCUAUCUCAUUGUUGUAACUUACUUUAAUAUUUGAGAUAUGUAGUGCAGUUUGGCCUAAAGCCUGCUAUGCCACCCAGGAACUCACAGCUCUCAUGCCUCUGUCUCCCAAGUGCUGUGAUCAUAGGCGCCUGUCUAGUCACAUAGCAAUUUUUAUCUUUGGAUAUUGCCAGAAGUUCUUUGAGAAAGCUAUUUUAUAUGAUGCUGUCAUUGGUACUUUGUCAUGUUAAAUUUCCUCUACAUGAUUAAGUAUCAGCAGUCACCUGGGGCAGGGGCCCCAUGUGGCCCUUUCUGCCCAGUUGUUCCAGGGAUGGUGUUUCCUAGCCUUUGUUUUGUCUCAGCUGGUGUCUGUCACAGG